rnacentral:rRNA from 1 species
CACGUAGGGUGCGAGCGUUGUCCGGAAUUAUUGGGCGUAAAGAGCUCGUAGGCGGUGUGUCGCGUCGGCCGUGAAAACCUGCAGCUUAACUGUGGGCUUGCGGUCGAUACGGGCAUCACUGGAGUUCGGCAGGGGAGACUGGAAUUCCUGGUGUAGCGGUGAAAUGCGCAGAUAUCAGGAGGAACACCGGUGGCGAAGGCGGGUCUCUGGGCCGAUAACUGACGCUGGAGGGAGCGGAAAGCGUGGGGAGCGAACAGG